rnacentral:rRNA from 1 species
UACGGAGGGGGCUAGCGUUGUUCGGAAUUACUGGGCGUAAAGCGCACGUAGGCGGCUUUGCAAGUUAGAGGUGAAAGCCCGGGGCUCAACUCCGGAAUUGCCUUUAAAACUGCAUCGCUAGAAUUGUGGAGAGGUAAGUGGAAUUCCGAGUGUAGAGGUGAAAUUCGUAGAUAUUCGGAAGAACACCAGUGGCGAAGGCGGUGGUCUGGGCCGGUACUGACGCUGAGGAGCGAAAGCGUGGGGAGCGAACAGG